rnacentral:rRNA from 1 species
GACGUAGGGCGCAAGCGUUGUCCGGAUUUAUUGGGCGUAAAGGGCUCGUAGGCGGUUUGUCGCGUCGGGAGUGAAAUCCACUGGCUUAACUGGUGGCUUGCUUCGAUACGGGCAGACUGGAGGUAUGCAGGGGAGAACGGAAUUCCUGGUGUAGCGGUGAAAUGCGCAGAUAUCAGGAGGAACACCGGUGGCGAAGGCGGUUCUCUGGGCCUUACCUGACGCUGAGGAGCGAAAGCGUGGGGAGCGAACAGG